CUGCGCUCCGCUCGCUUGGGUACUCGGAUAACUUUCCUCCCGUACGGAGAUUCUCUUCUAUGGUUCUGAUCGGAGAUUCCAGUAUGUCUCGUACCGACGAGGUGCACCGCAUAACGGAGAAUGUCUACAAAUCGAUCAUGGAGCAGUUCAACCCCUGUCUGAGAAACUUCGUCUCCAUGGGCAAGACCUACGAAAAGGCCCUAUCGAGGGAUGUGUUGUUCCAGAUGGCUGAGGUUCACAGGCAGAUCCAGAUGCAGCUGGAGGAUAUGCUGAAAUCCUUCCACAAUGAGCUUCUCACCGAACUGGAGAAGAAGGUGGAGCUGGACGCACGUUACCUGAGUGCUGCUCUGAAGAAGUACCAGAUGGAGCACCGGAGUAAAGGCGAGAGUCUGGAGAAGUGCCAGGCGGAACUGAAGAAACUGAGACGCAAGAGCCAGGGAAAGAACUCCUCCAAGUACGGGGACAAGGAGAUGCAGUACGUAGAGGCCAUCAGCAGCAAGCAGAGCGAGCUGGAUAACUGCAUUGCGGAGGGCUACAGGACAGCGCUGUCAGAGGAGCGGAGGAGGUACUGCUUCCUGGUGGACCGGCAGUGUGCCGUUGCCAAGAACAGCGCCACCUACCAUGGCAAGGGGAAGGACCUCCUGGCACAGAAUAUCCCCCUGUGGCAGCAGGCCUGCUCCGACCCCAGCAAGCUCCCGGAGCGAGCCAUGAUCCUGGCCCAGCAGCUCAGCUCCGCCCCCGGCAAGCACAGCUCCGCCCCCGGCACACUCAGGACCACCACCCUCAACACCUCCAAGGCCAACAUGCUAAUGUCUGACCCCACCCCUAAAGCCAAGCCCCUCCCCCUGGCUCCUGAACUCACCGCCUUUACAGCUAGCCUGGCCAAUCAGGAGAGGCUGAUGACGCUGGAUGGACCCUUAAUGAACGGGACUUUGGGGGGCCAGGUGGAGGACUACCAGCAGUGGGUGGAGGGCAGGAUGUCCAAGCCUCCCCUGCAGCACCCGCGGCAGGCUGCAGACAAGUACUCCAGCACCCUGCCUGUCCGCAAGAGCCAGCCAACCAGGAACAAGGCCUCUGCCGAGACUCGGACCCUGCCGCGGUCCAGCUCGGUGGCGGGGGGGCUGGAGCGGGAGCGUGGUGGUAGAACCCGGGUCCAGGCGGUGUUCUCCCAUGCCGCCGGGGACAACGCCACCCUGCUCAGCUUCUCCGAGGGUGAUGUCAUCACCCUGCUAGUGCCUGAGGCGCGAGAUGGCUGGCACUACGGAGAGAAUGACAAGAACAAGAUGCGUGGCUGGUUCCCAUUCUCCUACACGCGUGUGCUGCCUGACAGCCAGGCUGAAAACCAUCAAGUCAGUCUGCGUCAUGGGAAGAGCAGCAGCACGGGGAAUCUGCUGGAGCGGGAUGAUGUGGCCCCGCCCCCUCCUGAGUACGGCCUGACCUCCCGCCAGCUGCACAUCUCCACCCACAGGACCCGCCCCUACAGCAUGCCUGUACCCAUCUACACACAGCAGAUGCUGGAUGGGUAUGAGGUCCAGUUCCCCACAAGUGUGGGUCCAGAAUUUGCCCGGUUCUGAGCUUCCUGGACCUGUAAGUGAUCUCAACAUCUGCCAUUCAGUCAACCAAUCACAGCCUCUCUCUGCAAUGCUCCUUCUAUUUCCUGUGUUUUUCUCUGCUGUCAUUGGCUGGUUUAAUGGCUCCUGCAGCUCCUGCACCUCCUGCAGCUCCUGCUCCUAUGGCUUGUGGGGUAUACCCUCUCUGUGGACCCAGUCGUCUCACCUAUAGACUCACCUACUCCUCUGUCUGCAGCUCCUCCCCGUGUGCUCAGUGAUAUGAUCAGGACACUGAACACACUCAUAAACACAGGACUUCUGUGUGGAUGUAGGGUCUCAUUACUGUAAUGUAAUUCAGCUGCACAUUCAGUCCUAGUGGAGGAGACCAUGUCCUCUCUGGGAGCAGAAUCUGGCAGCAGUCAGCAGGUCUGACAGUGUAAAGGUGGAGGUGUGGAGAUGUGUGUGCAUCCUGCUGGGCUGGCACAUUGAGGCUGUGCGCAGUUGUAGGAUAAAUGUUCCAUCGCAGUAAGACAAGCAAGGCAAUAAAUGUAGACUAAUGUCAGAACUGCUGUGAAAAUGCGCUUUUAGAUAUUUAUCUCAACGGGCCUUCAGAAAGCUUUCGCUCUCCAUUCACAGUUUUUACAUUUUACAUCUGAAACCAAAAUAAUUAUUUAGACAAAAUAGGAAAACGGGAACUUCAAUAAAUGAAAAACACAAUUUUUAAAAUUACUAUUUAAUUCCAUAAUGUUAUCAAACAUUAACAAACUGUAAAAUUGAGUUAUGUAACAAGACAAUAGUCCAAAACACAAGAACAAAUUGACAUGUAAUUUACUGAAAAGAAUAUAAUUAUUUAUAAAAAGAAAAACGUUUUCAGAGUGGUCCUGAGUGGGUUAGCAUUCCUCCACCGCGAUGUGAAACAUCCAUAUCAGAUUAUAGGAAGUGUUUGGUUGUAAUUAUGGCUGCUAACUGGUGAAACCAGUUAUUAAAUUUAAGGGGGCAGUCACUUUUUCACAGGGGUGACAUGGAUGUUUUUCCAUGGAACUUUUUCAUGAAAUCGAUGAACAAUAAUUUAAAAAAAUUAAUUUGUAUUUAUUCAAGUUCCCUUUGUCUAAUAUUACAUUUUGUCUAAACAUCUGAAAAUCACAUUUUCUGUGUAAAAAAUAUGCAAUAAUAGAGAAAAUUUGGGGCAAAUAUUUUAUCACUGUAUGCUGUCAAUAUAAAUGGUGUGAAAACUUAAUUAAGUGAUUUUUUUAUGCAAGACUGCCUUUUAUUUAUCACCAGUAGCCCAUAUAAGUAGAAAAAUUUAAAUAUGUUUUCAUUUGAAUUUGCAACACAUAAAACUAGAAUAAAUCAUAUUCUGAAGGCACCAUAUAUAUAACAAUAGUUAUUUACUGUUCCAAAUCUUGGAUGUGGUUCAAGAUGUUCAGUUUGUUGAUGUCGUCAUGUUUUCUGUAAAAUGUUAAUAGAAUGUAAAAAAUAUGGCAUUAAUUAUUUACUUUAUCUACAAAUGUUUCUAAUUGUCAUUGAUAAAAUUAAUAUAAUUAGUAUAAUGACGUAUAUAGGGUAGCUGAAGCCUGUUUGCUUUUAGAACAGAUACAUGUGUAAAUUCUAGAAUACAGUAUUCUAAAAUAUAUAAACAUAGUUGUUAAACAUUUUCAUCCAGAACUACAAAAAUAUUUUGUGUGAUUAUGCAUGAUGAGGCAACACAGAGGUUGGUAAAAAAUUUAAUAAAGCUAAUUAAGAACUUCAUAAGCAUUAACAUUAACAAUCAGUUAUUCAGUGGCCAUGGAUGUCACCCUCCAUAUUAAAUGGCAGGUCACUGGUAGUGUAGUGUGAUUAAAGAACUAAUAAAAUAAAUUAAAUUAAAUUAAUAAAGUGAAUUGUUGUGGUACCUACAUGGCUGUGUGGUUGUAGCUCCCUCUCACUGGAGGGAAAACGGCCAGUCAACUCAGACCAGGCAUGUUACUUACAGUCUAGAGUUUAUCCAGUACAGUGUUUCUGUUUCAGGAGGCUUUCACAGUUCAUUGUAAAGGCACUGUUUAAGUAAACUUAGGUUUAAAUGAUGCCUUUGGAACCCAUUGUUUCUGUUUUGUAAAGUUUAAAAAAAAUAAAGUUAGUAUUAAGCGAUGUGUCUGGAAUAUAAAAUCAGAUCUGAAUGUCAUUGUGGUGUUUAUGUUCAGCUGACAUAGCUAGUGCUCAGGCUGGGCUCAUAUUCACAUCACAUCCCUUCCACUGCUGCAUUUUCAUCCUUUUAACAUCACAGUUUAGAUGUAUUAGAUAAAUAUGAGCAUACCAGGCAACUCCCCAGUUUAUAAAAUUGCAGCUUAUAUGUCCCUUCUGAAGGUUUUGUAAGACUGAGUUUAUACAAGUGACACAGCUUAUAUAGGGCUUCUGAAGGGUUUGUAAGGUUUUUCUACAGUUACCUGUGUGUUUGCUCCACACCUCUCUGUACAUCCUGCCUGUAAAUUAACUGAACAGCAUAUAUGUAAAAAAAAAAAAGCCCAAUAAAGCGAAUAAACUUUCA